rnacentral:lncRNA from 1 species
GAAGGACUAAGGAGCUUUCAAACAAUCUUCCAAGGAGGACUACGGAUUUCCACAUAUGGAUUCAGGUACGCUUCCGCUCAUGUAGUAAUUCCAAAUAAUUUCGAUAUGAAGGCUAUUGUGUUUUAGUCGGAAUCAUAAUUCGAACACAUAGACCUUGAGUAAAACACAUUUUGCAUUCACAAAUUGAUAAUUACAUACUUAUGAGAAAAGAGAAACAAAUACCUUGUUUAUGACAGAUUUAAAUGUAACAAAUUCCAAAGCAAGGGUAUAAUGAAGCUCAGCUUCCAGCGUGCAUCCAAAAUCAGCAAGCAAACAGCUCAUCUACAGCCUCCAAUAACGGACCAGAUUCAGCUUGAAAACCCAGGAAAUGAUGUAGGUCUCUUUGAAUCGACAAACACAAACUAAUUAUUUUUGAGUGUAGAAAUCAAUCUUUAUUCUAUUGUUUGAAGCUGGAAAUUUCAGAUCUUAGAAAGGAAUUUAUGAAUUUCAAAAUCAGUUUUUAGAUGUUUCUAAAUAUGUGUAGAUGAGUGCGUGUGUUAGUGAGAUAAGAAGAGGAACGAGGGGUCGUUCAUUUCAGCUUGGGACUUGGAGAAAAUGAAGGAGAAGUAGAACAGAGCUACUGGGCGCCGUCUCCUCCUUUUGUGAAGGGAUAUGAUAUGGACAAAUC